rnacentral:rRNA from 1 species
AUUGAACGCUGGCGGCAGGCUUAACACAUGCAAGUCGAGCGGGGUGAUGGUGCUUGCACUAUCACUUAGCGGCGGACGGGUGAGUAAUGCUUAGGAAUCUGCCUAUUAGUGGGGGACAACAUCUCGAAAGGGAUGCUAAUACCGCAUACGUCCUACGGGAGAAAGCAGGGGAUCACUUGUGACCUUGCGCUAAUAGAUGAGCCUAAGUCGGAUUAGCUAGUUGGUGGGGUAAAGGCCUACCAAAGCGACGAUCUGUAGCGGGUCUGAGAGGAUGAUCCGCCCCACUGGGACUGAGACACGGCCCAGACUCCUACGGGAGGCAGCAGUGGGAAUAUUGGACAAUGGGGGGAACCCUGAUCCAGCCAUGCCGCGUGUGUGAAGAAGGCCUUAUGGUUGUAAAGCACUUUAAGCGAGGAGGAGGCUCUUUUGGUUAAUACCCAAGAUGAGUGGACGUUACUCGCAGAAUAAGCACCGGCUAACUCUGUGCCAGCCGCCGCAGUAA